rnacentral:rRNA from 1 species
CGGGGUGAGUAAUGUAUGGGGAUCUGCCUGAUGGCGGGGGAUAACUACUGGAAACGGUAGCUAAUACCGCAUAACGUCGCAAGACCAAAGAGGGGGACCUUAGGGCCUCUUGCCAUCGGAUGUGCCCAGAUGGGAUUAGCUAGUAGGUGGGGUAACGGCUCACCUAGGCGACGAUCCCUAGCUGGUCUGAGAGGAUGACCAGCCACACUGGAACUGAGACACGGUCCAG